rnacentral:lncRNA from 1 species
CGAUCUGUUUGGGAAUCCACUGAUUUGCCUAAAAACUGUUUUAUAUUUAAUAUUCUAGAAUAAGUGUAUCUUUUGGUUAAUGGAAAGAGAACAAUAGCUUAUGAAAUUGAGUUAAACCCCAAAACUAUUCUUAACUUCACCAUGACUCCAGCACAGUCUCAUCUAACAAGAAAAAUAUAUCAUUAAUUUGGCUUUAUAUAAAAACUGACUUUGUCUUAAUUUUAUAUUUGGUAUUCUAUUAAAUAUAUAAGGAAUAUCACAACUUCAGGUCACUGUUUUGAAUGAAACAGAAUAAAUUAUAUUUCCCCAAAUAACUUUUAUAUUUGAGUACUAAAAUUAUCAGAAAUCAAGCCUAAGACGCUGUAAAAAAGUUAUUUUCGGGGUCAGAGUUGACCAUUUUUAUA